rnacentral:rRNA from 1 species
AGCAGCCGCGGUAAUUCCAGCUCCAAUAGCGUAUAUUAAAGUUGCUGCAGUUAAAAAGCUCGUAGUUGAAUUUCGGGACUAAUAUAUCGGUCGUGCCUCGGUACGUACUGGUAUUUUUGGUUUCUCCCUUCUGACGAACCUUGAUGUCAUUAAUUUGGUGUCUUGGGAAAUCAGGACUGUUACUUUGAAAAAAUUAGAGUGUUUAAAGCAGGCUCACGCUUGAAUACAUUAGCAUGGAAUAAUGAAAUAGGACGUUUGAUUCUAUUUUGUUGGUUUCUAGGAUCGACGUAAUGAUUAAUAGGGAUAGUUGGGGGCAUUAGUAUUCAAUUGUCAGAGGUGAAAUUCUUGGAUUUAUUGAAGACUAACUACUGCGAAAGCAUUUGCCAAGGAUGUUUUCAUUAAUCAAGAACGAAAGUUAGGGGAUCGAAGACGAUCAGAUACCGUCGUAGUCUUAACCAUAAACUAUGCCGACUAGGGAUCGGAUGAUGUUAAUUUUUAAUGACUCAUUCGGCGCCUUACG